rnacentral:lncRNA from 1 species
AUAGGUUGGUGCCUCUUUCAGAUUCGCCCAACUCAGAGCAGUGUUGGGAGACCCGGAUCUUCGAGAUGUGACCUGAGACUCUGCAGAGCGCUCACGCCACCUGUAAGCCCCAAGAGCAGUAGACGGUUUCUCGCCAAGACACCUGCGCUACAACUGUAUCAACCAUGGCCUCUUCCCUCAGCCCCACCCAUUUCUGACUUAUCCCCCACCAAGAACGAGACGAAGAAAAGAGCCCCCGGCAGCUGCUGACCUGUAUUAAUAAAGUUGCACAGGCCCCAGCCUGUGGGGCUGA